ACUCCUACGGGAGGCAGCAGUGGGGAAGUAUUGCACAAUGGGGAAACCCGGUAGCAUGCAGCCAUGCCGCGUGUGUGAAGAAGGCCUUCGGGUUGUAAAGCACUUUCAGUAGGGAGGAAGGUAGUGUAGUUAACACCUGCAUAUUUGAUCGUAUCCUACAGAAGAAGCACCGGCUAACUCCGUGCCAGCAGCCGCGGUAAUACGGAGGGUGCGAGCGUUAAUCGGAAUUACUGGGCGUAAAGCGCAUGCAGGCGGCCUGUUAAGUCAGAUGUGAAAG
rnacentral:rRNA from 1 species